CCUACGGGUGGCUGCAGUGGGGAAUAUUGGACAAUGGGCGAAAGCCUGAUCCAGCCAUGCCGCGUGUGUGAAGAAGGCCUUCGGGUUGUAAAGCACUUUCAGUGGGGAAGAAAGCCUUGGGGCUAAUACCCUCGAGGAAGGACAUCACCCACAGAAGAAGCACCGGCUAACUCCGUGCCAGCAGCCGCGGUAAUACGGAGGGUGCGAGCGUUAAUCGGAAUUACUGGGCGUAAAGCGCGCGUAGGCGGUCUGAUAAGCCGGUUGUGAAAGCCCCGGGCUCAACCUGGGAACGGCAUCCGGAACUGUCAGGCUUGAGUGCAGGAGAGGAAGGUAGAAUUCCCGGUGUAGCGGUGAAAUGCGUAGAUAUCGGGAGGAAUACCAGUGGCGAAGGCGGCCUUCUGGACUGACACUGACGCUGAGGUGCGAAAGCGUGGGUAGCAAACAGGAUUAGAUACCCUGGUAGUC
rnacentral:rRNA from 1 species